rnacentral:rRNA from 1 species
UACGGAGGGAGCUAGCGUUGUUCGGAAUUACUGGGCGUAAAGCGCACGUAGGCGGCUUUGUAAGUUAGAGGUGAAAGCCUGGAGCUCAACUCCAGAAUUGCCUUUAAGACUGCAUCGCUUGAAUCCAAGAGAGGUGAGUGGAAUUCCGAGUGUAGAGGUGAAAUUCGUAGAUAUUCGGAAGAACACCAGUGGCGAAGGCGGCUCACUGGCUUGGUAUUGACGCUGAGGUGCGAAAGCGUGGGGAGCGAACAGG